CCGUUAAUGACACUCAUGCACGAAAGUGCGGGGAUCGAACAGGAUUAGAUACCCUGGUAGUCCGCACAGUAAACGAUGAAUACUUGCUUUCGGCGAUAUAUUGUCGGAGGCAAAGCGAAAGCGAUAAGUAUUCCACCUGGGGAGUACGCCGGCAACAGUGAAACUCAAAGGAAUUGACGGGGGCCCGCACAAGCGGAGGAACAUGUGGUUUAAUUCGAUGCUACGCGAGGAACCUUACCCGGGCUUGAAAGUUAGCGACGGCGGAUGAAAGUCUGCUUCCCUUCGGGGCGCGAAACUAGGUGCUGCAUGGUUGUCGUCAGCUCGUGCCGUGAGGUGUCGGCUUAAGUGCCAUAACGAGCGCAACCCUUUUCUCCAGUUGCCAGCAAGUUGAGUUGGGGACUCUGGAGACACUGCCAUCGCAAGAUGUGAGGAAGGAUGGGAUGACGUCAAAUCAGCACGGCCCUUACGUCCGGGGCUACACACGUGUUACAAUGGGUGAUACAGAUGGCCGGUUCACGGCAACGUGGAUCAAAUCUUGAAAGUCAUCCUCAGUUCGGAUUGGGGUCUGCAACCCGACCCCAUGAAGCUGGAUUCGCUAGU
rnacentral:rRNA from 1 species